rnacentral:rRNA from 1 species
CGCAGCCGCGGUAAUUCCAGCUCCAAUAGCGUAUAUUAAAGUUGUUGCAGUUAAAAAGCUCGUAGUUGAAUUUCAGGCCUGGCUGGACGGUCCGCCCUUCGGGUGAGUACUGUCUGUGGUCGGGUCCUACCUUCUGGCGAAGCGUCAUGGCCUUAACCGGCCGUGGCGGGGAACCAGGACUUUUACUGUGAAAAAAUUAGAGUGUUCAAAGCAGGCAAUCGCUUGGAUACAUUAGCAUGGAAUAAUGGAAUAGGACAAUGGUUCUAUUUGUUGGUUUCUAGGACCGUUGUAAUGAUUAAUAGGGAUAGUUGGGGGCAUUAGUAUUCAAUUGUCAGAGGUGAAAUUCUCGGAUUUAUUGAAGACUAACUACUGCGAAAGCAUUUGCCAAGGAUGUUUUCAUUAAUCAAGAACGAAAGUUAGGGGAUCGAAGACGAUCAGAUACCGUCGUAGUCUUAACCAUAAACUAUGCCGACUAGGAAUCGGGCGAUGUUGAAAAAUGACGCGCUCGGCACCUCAUGG